rfam:Brachypodium distachyon strain Bd21 chromosome 3, whole genome shotgun sequence.
AAUUUAACCUCCGAUCCAUAUUACCUGUCGCAGUUUUAUCUAGAUACGCAUGUACCUACACAAUGAAACGUGUCUAGGUACAUGUGUAUCUAGAAAAAGCUGCGACAAGUAAUAUGGAUCGGAGGGAGUACUCC